AUCAAAAACAUGUCUUUCUGGGGAGAAUGGAAGGUCAAAUCUGCUCGGUGAUAUAUUUUUAACAGCUGCAGAAUUUUAACUGUACAAAGGUAGCAUAAUCAAUAGUUUUUUAAUUGUAAACUGGAAUGAAUGAUUGAAUAAGAUACUAACUGUCUCUAAUAGAAGGGAAGAAUUUUAUUUUUAAGUUAAAAAGCUUAAAUUAAAGUAGGGGACGAGAAGACCCCAUAGAUUUUAAUAAAUUUAACGUAUAAUUUAGAAGUUAAAUUUAUUUAGAUGGGGAAUUUUAAAAAUAAAAUAAUUUUUUAAUUUUAAACACAUAAAUAAAUGGAUUAAAUGAGUAGAAAAUAUUUUAGAGAAAAAUACCUUGGGGAUAACAGCGUUAUAAAUUCAGGAAGAUCAAAUUUUUGAGUUUGAUUGCGACCUCGAUGUUG
rnacentral:rRNA from 1 species